UGGCUGAGUGGUUAAGCACUCGAUUUCUGAACCGGGUGUCCCAGGUUAAAAUCCUGG
rnacentral:tRNA from 1 species